AAAUGGGCUUCACACUUUGUACCCAUGUGGGGAAUCGAACCCGGUCUUCGGUCUGACGUGUGAACGCUUUAACCACUAGGCUACCCCACCGUCCCUCAAUCAACUAUCAUUCACAGUUGUUUCUAUUCCUCUGACAAAAACCUUUACAAUCUAUGUGGAAAAAAUGUCAUGCAUAAUUGGUAUGAACAAGGGAAAAUUUGAUGUCAUAAACCAUUUACAAUAUUUUCUUUUGACAGGUACAAGGAAACAUCAAAGAUGACUUAAACAACUGAGCUUCUGCAAAAGUAACUCAAGUAACUGGCUUCAAAAUUAACUCACUGCUAUUUGAACAAACUAUUUUCAUUGGAAGAAACAUUUGCUAAGACAAUUGGAAUGAGCACAUGUUUACAAACCUGAAACCGAAUGGUUAGAAAGGUGGUGAAAAACAACAACUGACCAUAUGCACUGACUUGGGAGAUACCAGAUUUACAUCACUAAAGAUUUACAAUACAGCCACCAUGGUAAACAGACAGCCACAAGCUAACUUGGACAUCACCAAACUAAUCUCAGAAGUCACCAUUACCUAACCAAUAUUGAGGAACAGGAGUAGCAUGAGUAUAGUAAUUGCGCAAAUGAAUUGCGACAAAGAGAUGCUCUUGACUUCUCAGCGAGCUGCGAGGACUCUGUUCCAGGAUUUUGAAGCAAACUGGCCAUCUGGUGUAGGUGUACAGGAGAGUAAAUGAAAAACAAAUGAAGAUGGUCAGCAGCAUUCUCACCAGUAAGAAUCCAAAACCGAGGAAGUACGAUGCAAAGCGGAACACAAGGCUUCAACUCCAGAAGAUGAUUCAAGUGACCCUGAGGAGAAUGGAAAAGCAGGAAGGAGAUCUCGCCGGUUCCAAUUUAUUAACUGCAGUGUGCAGAUAUUGUAAAAAAAUAAAUCAUUUUGAAUGGG